CAGGGAGACAACAAAAUGUUUAAUAUUAUUAUUUUGUCACCUUAGGUCGAUCGGUAUCUCACGUUUUUAAUUUAUUAAGAAUUUCAUUUCCUAAGUUUUUCUAGGUCACACCCAUUUUUUUUCCUGGGCCAUUAGCUCAGGUGGUUAGAGCGCACCCCUGAUAAGGGUGAGGUCCCCGGUUCAAGUCCAGGAUGGCCCAUAUCUCUAUGUUGGGGGUAUAGCUCAGUUGGUAGAGCGCCUGCUUUGCAAGCAGGAUGUCAGCGGUUCGAGUCCGCUUACCUCCACUGAUUACCACCUCUCUCAUAAUCUGUAGAAAGGAAAUUUUUUGAGUUGUGAUCAAAUCCUGAAAGAAUCUAGCUUCCUAAUGAAAUCAUUAAGAUGCUGGACUCAUUGAAUUAAUUUCAUUGUUUUCAGAGAACCUUGACAACUGCAUAGAUUAUUUUUAAAGACAAUAAGCAUCUUUAAUGAUGCAGAUUUAUUAUUUGUGCGAAUGCAUUAAUAACAAUUCUAUUAAGCUGAUGCUUCAAUUUUUGAAGUUAUU
rnacentral:tRNA from 1 species